AGCGAACGCUAGCGGCGGGCUUAACACAUGCAAGUCGAACGCCCAUCUUCGGGUGGGAGUGGCGAACGGGUGAGUAACACGUAGGUAAUCUGCCUUUUGGUGGGGGACAACCGAAGGAAACUUCGGCUAAUACCGCAUAUGGCCUUCGGGUCAAAGCCUUCGGGCGCCAGAAGAUGAGCCUGCGGCCCAUUAUUUAAUCCUAGUUGGCGGGGUAACGGCCCACCAAGGGUACGAUGGGUAGCUGGUCUGAGAGGAUGAUCAGCCACACUGGGACUGAGACACGGCCCAGACUCCUACGGGAGGCAGCAGUGGGGAAUAUUGCGCAAUGGGCGAAAGCCUGACGCAGCCACGCCGCGUGGGUGAUGAAGGCCUUCGGGUCGUAAAGCCCUGUCGUAGGGGACGAACAAUGACGGUACCCUACAAGAAAGCGCCGGCCAACUCCGUG
rnacentral:rRNA from 1 species